UACGUAGGGUGCGAGCGUUAAUCGGAAUUACUGGGCGUAAAGCGUGCGCAGGCGGUGAUGUAAGACCGAUGUGAAAUCCCCGGGCUCAACCUGGGAAUGGCAUUUGGGACUGCAAGGCUUGAGUGCGGCAGAGGAGACUGGAAUUCCUGGUGUAGCAGUGAAAUGCGUAGAUAUCAGGAGGAAUACCGAUGGCGAAGGCAGGUCUCUGGGCUGACACUGACGCUCAUGCACGAAAGCGUGGGGAGCAAACAGG
rnacentral:rRNA from 1 species